rnacentral:misc_RNA from 1 species
UAGAUAUACUUGCGGUGAACUUCUGCAUCAAGUUGUUUGUCAUCCUUUGAAAAUCCAGCAAAUCUCUUAUCACUGUGAGGAAUAUCCAAACCACCAUCUAGUGCUCCCUUGAGAGCACCAAAUACACGGUUUCCAGUUGUGGUCCUGACCAGCCCAACAUCAAGUAAAGCACGGAAAGGCCUCCUGCUCUCAGCUGGCUCAACUGAGAAGUCCUCCCCAGUAGCCUCUGCAUUCCCCUCGUAUUCCUCAUCCAUUUCAAGCAUUUUCAAAGUACGACGGGCCAACAGAAGUCCAGUGCAGUAGGCUGCUGCAUAGUUUGUCAGACCCACUUCCAGUCCAUAUCGAGGAAGCUCAUGAGAAUAGGCAGCAGCAAGAACCAUAUCUCCAGCAAUACUAGCUGAUAUUAUUUGUGCGACAAUGUCCUUAUUGGAAAAUCGCACAACAAAUCGGUACUUUGGAGUGUUGUACUUAUUCUUGUCCUGAUUGAUCAGGCGAAUCCUGGCUCUAUAGUCGGUCUUCCCUUCUCUUCUUCUCUUAAAUUUGACCUGAAACCGCUUAAAGUAAGCCUU